rnacentral:piRNA from 1 species
AAAAAAAAUAAGGAUGGUAAAUGGCA